AUACGUAGGGAGCGAGCGUUGUCCGGAAUUACUGGGUGUAAAGGGAGCGUAGGCGGGAUCGCAAGUCAGAUGUGAAAUGCAUGGGCUUAACCCAUGAGCUGCAUUUGAAACUGCGGUUCUUGAGUGAAGUAGAGGUAAGCGGAAUUCCUGGUGUAGCGGUGAAAUGCGUAGAUAUCAGGAGGAACACCGGUGGCGAAGGCGGCUUACUGGGCUUUUACUGACGCUGAGGCUCGAAAGCGUGGGGAGCAAACAGGAUUAGAUACCCUGGUAGUCCACGCUGUAAACGAUGAUUACUAGGUGUGGGGGGACUGACCCCUUCCGUGCCGCAGUUAACACAAUAAGUAAUCCACCUGGGGAGUACGGCCGCAAGGUUGAAACUCAAAUGAAUUGACGGGG
rnacentral:rRNA from 1 species